GGCGGUUUCGGCUUUUUGGUCUUUCCUGCUGCCUUGUGAAGAAGGUGCUUGUUUCUUCUUUGCCUUCUGCCAUGAUUGCCAUGUGAAUCGCACCCCUGGAACUGUGCAGGGCCCACCUGUGUGGCCACACGCAGUGACCCUGAGCAAAGGAGUGACCACAGAAGUGCAUGGCAAAGCAGAAAGGUGUGACGUCUUGGAGGACGCGGGAGGAAAGCACGCCCAGCGGACAGGAGCCAUCACGCGGCUGCGGGCUGCUGCUGAGAACCUGGCGUGGGCCACCGUCGUCAGCAGCGUGGAGGGAGCCGAGGAGCAUGGACACCGUCUUCUCCUUCCAGCAGGCACAGGACACUUGUUAUUGCAGUCAGAGUCCAUCUGGAUAAUCCUGGAUAAAUCUCAUCUGGAGAUCCUUCACCAGAUCACAUCGGCAAUGACCUGUUCCCCAAAUAAGGCCCUGUGCACAGGUUCUGGGGGACAUAUCUUGUAAUUGAAGACGUCUCACCAUAGCGGCCAGCCGUGCAACCACUGGGCCUGUCUGUGCCUGAACAACACACUGGCCUGCCUUUGCCUGAACAAGACAGCCUUAGUCUCAAAGCUUGCAGAUGGGUGUGGCCUGGUAGAAAAUUCUCAAGACAACGGCGGAGCACGCUUGCCCCUAGGAGACCAAGUGGCCGGAAUGUUGAGAAUCAGCCUUUCGCAGAAAUCCCCUAAGCGGGAGGCAGCAGGCUGACUCCAUCAGCCCCAGGCAGGCUUCUGGGCCCUGCAGCUAUGGCUCUUCAUCCUUUUACAUGUUCUUCGAGAAUCAGCUGCACCCUGGAUGCUUCUGACAGCUCAGAGGACAUCAGCAUGAGGACAAGCACAGGGCUUGAUGGCUCGGAGGGAAAUGGAGUUGGAAGAUUUGGACUUAAUGUGCACACAUUUUAGAAAUAUCUUAACAAAUUUUAUUUUGCUGAUAUCUUUCUUUUUUGUGUGUGCCAAAGUGAUGGCCAGUACAAAUCCAUGUCUAAUUAAGUCCAGAAGAGCUCCUUCAAUAAGCGUAAGAUGAAAGUUAUGAGUGAUAAGAAAGCGUCAUGUCAGUUUAAUUGGCAGCAUUUUCUCUUUCUUAGUGGUUCAUAAAAUAAGGCAGUGCUUUGCUAUCGACGG
rnacentral:lncRNA from 1 species